UAGGGCUACUUUAUUUGUUUG
rnacentral:siRNA from 1 species